UGAUAAGUAUGUUUUUACACACUUAUUUGGUUCACAAACAUGACUUAAACAUGGAUAAAAUGGUUGAAUUGUAGCUUAAUCUUAUUAAAUUCAUGCAAUGUAGGUAUUUCAAUGAAAAUUGUGGAAUUCAGGAGAAAAGAGCCGAAGAAGGACCAAAACUCAACAAAGUGAUAGUUCGAGGACCAAAUGUGCAAAUAUUGAGAAGUUGAGCUAAAUG
rnacentral:lncRNA from 1 species